CAACCCUCAAGCUUGGCUUGGUAUUGGGUAUCACCUAAUUAGGUGCACCUUAAAAUCAGUGGCGGUGCCAUCUAGCUUCAAGUGUAGUAAAUUUCUCACUUUGGAGGUUUAGGUGUGUGUUUGCCAUCAACACUCUAUUCUUCAAU
rnacentral:misc_RNA from 1 species